AACGAACGCUGGCGGCAUGCCUAACACAUGCAAGUCGAACGAGACCUUCGGGUCUAGUUGCGCACGGGUGCGUAACGCGUGGGAACCUUCCCUUAGGUUCGGAAUAACUCCCCGAAAGGGGUGCUAAUACCGGAUAAUUGCUUCUGACCAAUGAUUUAUUGGCUUUGGAGGGGCACGCGUUGGAUUAGCUAGUUGGUAAGGUAAAAGUCUACCAAGGCGACGAUCCAUAGCUGGUCUGAGAGGAUGACCAGCCACACUGGGACUGUGACACGGCCCAGACUCUUACGGGAGGAAGAAGUGGGGAAUAUUGGACAACGGGCGAAAGCAUGAUCCAGCAAUGCCGCGUGAGUGAUGAAGGCCUUAGGGUUGUAAAGCUCUUUUACCCGGGAUGAUAAUGACAGUACCGGGAGAAUAAGCUCCGGCUAACUACGUG
rnacentral:rRNA from 1 species